UACGUAGGGUGCGAGCGUUAAUCGGAAUUACUGGGCGUAAAGUGUGCGCAGGCGACCGCGCAUGUCGAGUGUGAAAGCCCCGGGCUUAACUUGGGAAUUGCGCUCGAAACUACGUGGCUGGAGUGUGGCAGAGGAAGGUGGAAUUCCACGUGUAGCGGUGAAAUGCGUAGAGAUGUGGAGGAACACCAAUGGCGAAGGCAGCCUUCUGGGCCAACACUGACGCUCAUGCACGAAAGCGUGGGGAGCAAACAGG
rnacentral:rRNA from 1 species